UGAGGGCAGCGCAGGACCGAUCGUCGUGGAGAUCUUUGGGGGAGGCCUUUGUCCAGCAGUGAACGUCUACCGGCUGAUGAUGAUGAUGUAAUAUUUUAUUUCCAUGAUUACAGGAUUUGUCAGCUCUCAGUGAAUUCGAGAAAGAACCGGAUGAAGAUAUCAAUAUUAUUGUUCCCGAAGAUUUAUCCGACGAGGAAGAAGACUUCACUUUUGUAGAAAAUGAAACUGAAUAUUUCCCCCCACCCGGUCUUUUAAUUCCUGGUUUCUAUACUCCACCAAACGACAUAGCGAAAACGAAUGGGCUGGCUAUUCUUUUUCCCAAGUUGGUGGCAGAGCACGUGACUCCAGAGCCGGAAUAUCUUCCACAGCAUGUAUUGGUUCUACUGGAUAUAUCCAAGAGAUAUAAAGCAUUAAAUGCGAUGGCUAAAUAUAAGCCAUUGAUAUUACACAUGGGUAUAUUUAAAUUAACUUCACCUAACGAGUCAGAGCAUUUAGCUUACAGUGUCUCGCAGUUUGACUCAAAACGUGCCAGUGUGGAUAACAUAGAAAAUGACAAAAUUAAGUUGGCAAUCAUGGUAUCCAUUUCAAAGGACUCAGCUCUCUUAGAGUUGAUGGAUUUGAAUCCAAGUUAUGUGAGUAAAGAUUCCACCAUUGGAGAAUUGGAAUGUUCAGCAUUGUUUCCUGUUGGCUACGGUGAUGAGUAUCCCGAAUUCGAAGAUU